rnacentral:lncRNA from 1 species
UUGAUUCUUCUACCAAAAAAAAAUAAAAUAUAGUGUUGAUUCAAUUAUUAAAAAUUAAAAUAAAACACAAUUGUAAGCUAGGCCCAUAUAUUUGUCAAAAAGAAAAAAAGUUAAGCCCAUAUAUACCAAACAAUAACCCUAACCCAUUAAAUUACUCCUACUUGUUCACCAAAUUCAUGCGCCGCUUUUCUGCUUCUUUCUCAUCCCAUCAACAACAACCAUGCUCCAUCU